rnacentral:rRNA from 1 species
UACAGAGGUCUCAAGCGUUGUUCGGAUUCAUUGGGCGUAAAGGGUGCGUAGGCGGCGCGGUAAGUCGGGUGUGAAAUUUCGGAGCUUAACUCCGAAACUGCAUUCGAUACUGCGGUGCUUGAGGACUGGAGAGGAGACUGGAAUUCAUGGUGUAGCAGUGAAAUGCGUAGAGAUCAUGAGGAAGACCAGUGGCGAAGGCGGCAUCCUGGACCAACACUGACGCUGAGGAGCGAAAGCCAGGGGAGCAAACAGG